rnacentral:rRNA from 1 species
UUUUGGACAAUGGGCGCAAGCCUGAUCCAGCAAUGCCGCGUGCAGGAAGAAGGCCUUCGGGUUGUAAACUGCUUUUGUCAGGGAAGAAAUCCUCUGGGUUAAUACCUCGGGGGGAUGACGGUACCUGAAGAAUAAGCACCGGCUAACUACGUGCCAGCAGCCGCGGUAAUACGUAGGGUGCGAGCGUUAAUCGGAAUUACUGGGCGUAAAGCGUGCGCAGGCGGUUGUGCAAGACAGGUGUGAAAUCCCCGGGCUUAACCUGGGAACUGCACUUGUGACUGCACAGCUAGAGUACGGUAGAGGGGGAUGGAAUUCCGCGUGUAGCAGUGAAAUGCGUAGAUAUGCGGAGGAACACCGAUGGCGAAGGCAAUCCCCUGGAGCCUGUACUGACGCUCAUGCACGAAG